rnacentral:rRNA from 1 species
CCUACGGGUGGCAGCAGUGAGGAAUAUUGGUCAAUGGACGAGAGUCUGAACCAGCCAAGUAGCGUGAAUGAUGACUGCCCUAUGGGUUGUAAACUUCUUUUAUAUGGGAAUAAAAUGUUCCACGUGUGAGAUUUUGUAUGUACCAUAUGACUAAGGAUCGGCUAGCUCCGUGCCAGCAGCCGCGGUAAUACGGAGGAUCCGCGCGUUAUCCGGAUUUAUUGGGUUUAAAGGGAGCGUAGGGGGUUUGUUAAGUCAGUUGUGAAAGUUUGAGGCUCAACCUUAAAAUUGCAGUUGAAACUGGCAGUCUUGAGUACAGUAGAGGUGGGCGGAAUUCGUGGUGUAGCGGUGAAAUGCUUAGAUAUCACGAAGAACUCCGAUUGCGAAGGCAGCUUACUGGACUGCAACUGACACUGAGGCUCGAAAGUGUGGGUAUCAAACAGGAUUAGAUACCCGGGUAGUC